GGACCUGAAAUGGUCAGCAGGCUCUUCUUCUGGGUGGCUCUUUGUCUCCUCUGUGCAGGACACCUGGAUGCCCGAAUCACCCAGAGCCCAACAUACAAGGUCACAGGGAGAGAAAAGAAGGUGACUCUCAGUUGUCACCAGACAGAUAACCACAACAAUAUGUACUGGUAUCGACAAGACCUGGGGCAUGGGCUGAGGCUGAUCCAUUACUCAGUUGGUGCUGGGAUCACUGACAAAGGAGAUGUUGCUGAUGGGUACAGUGUCUCUAGAUCAAAUACAGAGAACUUUUCCCUCACACUAGACUCAGCCACCCUCUCCCAGACAUCUGUGUACUUCUGUGCCAGCAGUGAAUCCACAGCAUAG